rnacentral:rRNA from 1 species
CUUGGUCAUUUAGAGGAAGUAAAAGUCGUAACAAGGUUUCCGUAGGUGAACCUGCGGAAGGAUCAUUACAGUAUUCUUUUUGCCAGCGCUUAAUUGCGCGGCGAAAAAACCUUACACACAGUGUUUUUUGUUAUUACAAGAACUUUUGCUUUGGUCUGGACUAGAAAUAGUUUGGGCCAGAGGUUUACUGAACUAAACUUCAAUAUUUAUAUUGAAUUGUUAUUUAUUUAAUUGUCAAUUUGUUGAUUAAAUUCAAAAAAUCUUCAAAACUUUCAACAACGGAUCUCUUGGUUCUCGCAUCGAUGAAGAACGCAGCGAAAUGCGAUAAGUAAUAUGAAUUGCAGAUUUUCGUGAAUCAUCGAAUCUUUGAACGCACAUUGCGCCCUCUGGUAUUCCAGAGGGCAUGCCUGUUUGAGCGUCAUUUCUCUCUCAAACCUUCGGGUUUGGUAUUGAGUGAUACUCUUAGUCGAACUAGGCGUUUGCUUGAAAUGUAUUGGCAUGAGUGGUACUGGAUAGUGCUAUAUGACUUUCAAUGUAUUAGGUUUAUCCAACUCGUUGAAUAGUUUAAUGGUAUAUUUCUCGGUAUUCUAGGCUCGGCCUUACAAUAUAACAAACAAGUUUGACCUCAAAUCAGGUAGGAUUACCCGCUGAACUUAAGCAUAUCAAUAAGCGGAGGA